CAACAGGGAUUGCCUUAGUAACUGCGAGUGAAGCGGCAAAAGCUCAAAUUUGAAAUCUGGCGUCCUUGGGCGUCCGAGUUGUAAUUUGGAGGGAUAUCUUCGGGGACGGCGCCGUCCCAAGUUCCUUGGAACAGGACGUCAUAGAGGGUGAGAAUCCCGUGCCUGGACGGCUGUCCUUCCCCAUGUGAAGUGUCUCCGACGAGUCGAGUUGUUUGGGAAUGCAGCUCAAAAUGGGUGGUAAAUUUCAUCUAAAGCUAAAUAUUGGCGAGAGACCGAUAGCGCACAAGUAGAGUGAUCGAAAGAUGAAAAGCACUUUGAAAAGAGAGUUAAAAAGUACGUGAAAUUGUUGAAAGGGAAGCGCUUGCGACCAGACUCGAUCUUUGGCGAUCAGCCGGGCUUCUGUCCGGUGCCCUCGCCACCGAUCGGGCCAGCAUCGGUUCCGACGGCGGGACAAAAGGCGUGUGGAAUGUGGCUUCCCUCGGGGAGUGUUAUAGCCCACGUCACAAUGCCGCCAGUUGGGACCGAGGACCGCGCUUCGGCUAGGAUGCUGGCGUAAUGGUCUUAAGCGACCCGUCUUGAAACACGGACCAAGGAGUCUAACAUCUAUGCGAGUGUUCGGGUGGAAAACCCUUGCGCGUAAUUAAAGUGAACGGAGGUGUGAACCCGUGAGGGUGCAACAUCGACCGGUCCUGAUGUCUUCGGAAGGAUCUGAGUAAGAGCAUAGCUGUUGGGACCCGAAAGAUGGUGAACUAUGCCUGAAUAGGGUGAAGCCAGAGGAAACUCUGGUGGAGGCUCGCAGCGGUUCUGACGUGCAAAUCGAUCGUCAAAUUUGGGUAUAGGGGCGAAAGACUAAUCGAACCAUCUAGUAGCUGGUUCCUGCCGAAGUUUCCCUCAGGA
rnacentral:rRNA from 1 species